UAUUACAGCCAUACUCCCCUGAAAAUGCCCUUCUUGGAAGCUAAACAAGGAUGGGUCUGGGUAGUUUUUGGUGGAAGAUCUACAGUUAUAC
ensembl:rRNA predicted gene, 23198